rnacentral:rRNA from 1 species
CCUACGGGUGGCAGCAGUGAGGAAUAUUGGUCAAUGGACGAGAGUCUGAACCAGCCAAGUAGCGUGAAGGAUGACUGCACUAUGGGUUGUAAACUUCUUUUAUAUGGGAAUAAAACGUUCCACGUGUGGGAUUUUGUAUGUACCAUAUGAAUAAGGAUCGGCUAACUCCGUGCCAGCAGCCGCGGUAAUACGGAGGAUCCGAGCGUUAUCCGGAUUUAUUGGGUUUAUAGGGAGCGUAGGUGGAUGGUUAAGUCAGUUGUGAAAGUUUGCGGCUCAACCGUAAAAUUGCAGUUGAAACUGGCAGUCUUGAGUACAGUAGAGGUGGGCGGAAUUCGUGGUGUAGCGGUGAAAUGCUUAGAUAUCACGAAGAACUCCGAUUGCGAAGGCAGUUCACUGGACUGCAACUGACACUGAGGCUCGAAAGUGUGGGUAUCAAACAGGAUUAGAUACCCGGGUAGUC